GUUCAUUUUACAGCUUUCCUUUCUCUCUCUAAAAACCCUUUCUCCCUAAAAGUUCUCUGACUUCUCUCUAAAAUAUCCCUUCGCUGAACCGUUAGAUUUUUGUUUAGGGGCUGCCUAAGCAACCGCAACGUCAAGAGCUUCCUUUUGAUCUGAUCAUAUUUUCGUUUGGACCGGUACUGUUGAACCUGCCUCUAUGCGGAGGUACUGUUAGGACUUCUUAAAUUAGCUGUGCUUGGAAUCCAGAUGUUGAGGAGGUCCCCCUCGAGCAAGAGCUUGAGGAUGCUGAUGCUGCAACCUAGUCUUCCUAGGAGUUCCUUAGUCAUUUUAUGUUCUUUUGAAAUACUCUUUAUGAUUAAGUUCAAGUUUAGUACGCUAUUGCACUUAAAGUUUUAAAUUCUUAGACCAUUCCGGAUGACUGUAAUCCUAAACACCUUAAACUACUGUCUUAACUGCUUUCUAUUAUUAUGAUUGAUGACACCUAUAUAUAUACUGCUAUAUAUUUGAGAUGUCACAA